GGUCAUGAGCGCCAGCGUCAAGCCCCGGCUCGCUGGCCGGCAACCCUCCAACCGCGGUGGGGUGCCCCGGGUGAUGACCAGGUUGAGUAGCUGCAACGGGCUACACGGCAAGCGCGGGUC
rnacentral:ncRNA from 2 species